rnacentral:lncRNA from 1 species
GAAAAAUAAAAAGAUGAACUCUUUGAGAUUAGAGGUAAUAAUAUCAAGAAAUAUCUGUUCUCAUUUGAGUGCAUGUGUCUCUGCAAAAUUCAUAUGUUGGAACUUAAAGCCCAGGGUGAUGGUAUUAAGAGGUGGUAGAAAGGCAUUUGGGAAUGGAUUACAUCAUAAAGGCUCUACCCUGAUUAAUGGGAUUAUGGAACAGGCUUCAAAGAGCUACCUGGAACUUCCAUCACUUCUACCAUGUGAAGAUAAACAUGAAUCUCUUUUUUCCCUUAUAUUUCUUCUGCCAUGUGAGAACACAGUAUUUGUCUUUUCCACCUUUCCAUGAUGUGAGGACACCCCAAGAAUGUCCCCUAAAGACAGGAAACAAGACAUGGAAUCUUCUGGCACCAUGAUCUUGGACUUCAUAGCCUCCAAAAUGAAUAGAGAACCUACAGACCCGCAUGUAUUGAAGUUUGAAACCACCUGUGUAAACAGCACACAGAUGAAGGACCACUUUACCCUGUUUCUCACACCAUAGGUGUCAUAGACAUACUAAUGAAGGGGCUGCCUCACACAGAGAGCUAUCUUACAAGGUUCUGAGAAUAAAAUGAGAGCUAGAAGAGACAUGAUUUCUACUUCAAUAUUUUAUUUGGCAACAUCCUACUGAAAAGACAAGCAAAACCACUAUGAUUCAUAAUACUUGCAGAUGAAGGCAAUAUGACACAAGAAGGUUAAACGGCCUCUCAUGACAAUUGAAGGGAACGAGAGCAAAGCCACCUGCAUAUCUUCGGCAGUUAAAGAUCAGAAUCAUAACAACAAUAACAUCUCACAAUUUUCCAAGUGCUCCUUCGGCUCUGUCUUUUUCCUCCCACCUGAGGCCCCCAGGGUGGGUGUAGACAUUCAUCUCUGCUUCAUUUGAUCCACCUCUGCUUGGCCACUGCUGGACUUUUUCUCAGGCAAAGGAGAACCCCCAGGAGAGUGGAUAAACUGGACCAAGGAGCUGCAGAGGUAGUUUGAUUUCACCACAAUCAUUUCAUCUGUCUUAGCAAAACCCCCUUGGGCUUGCCCUGUAGUACACAAACUUGGCUUUGUUCACGCAGCUCAAAUAGAACACUUCUCCUUCAAAAUUUAACUCAGCUCUCGGAAACACUGAAAGGAAAUGUGGCCUAUAAUUAUCCAACGUGAGAUGCAAGGAUUGAAUGCUUUGUCCAAGCUUUGCUGUUCUAAGAGAAGUCAAGGUGAAGGGUUUAGUGCCUCUGAAGCUGGGGCAAGAAAACAAUCGGCUUCUCCAACGGUCAGUAAAGAAUACAAGGGCACAGUUAAAACAGAGCCACUGAAGUGAACAACCUUCAUGUGACCAACAGGAGAAACACCCCCUCCAGGAACCUAAGACCAGUUUGCUACAAGAAUACAAUUGGUAUUCCCCACAGUCACCCUCACAAGGGACACUUACAAAGCACACUCCAAUCUCAGCCAUUACUGACUGACAAGAGCCUGCCUGUCUGAAGCCUGCAGGCCCGAGAAGCUUCUUUCUCCCUUCUCUUGGCUAUUAGUCACAGCUGGUAAGGCUCACAGGAACCGAGACUGUUUGAAAACAGUUGGAUCACGAAAACGUUUGAGUCUUUCUGCUGCAAGCAACAAACUUGGCCCAGGCUGCCACAAGGAGAUGGAGUGGGAGUGGGGGUGGCGAUGGGAUGCACCAGGAACGAAGGAAGAAAGGGAAAUUGCUAACCACCUCACUUCAAAAUCUUCUCUGAGGGAGCCCGUGGCUAUUAUCCUGGUUCAAAUGUCACAGAUAGAAGAUAAUAAAAACAAGAAGAAAUAAAAUUCAAGAUCCAUUAGAACACUUCUGGAUUGUCCAUUACAGCAUGUAUUACCCAACAGAAAGAUGAUCACUAAUAGAUGACAAGCUAUUUAAUUUUAUGUUUACUUUUGGAAGGAUGCAGGUACUGUGCAGGGUUUCUACAACACAUCAGCAUUGCUUACACCAGUACUUCAAAUAUGAGUUAUUUAAUCACCCAAGUUAAAUGAAAAUAACCAAAUGAUUAAAUAAAAUCAAGUCAUACUUCAUGUGAAGACUUUA